GGUGCCCCAUGGCUGGCAGGAUGAGCCGUGUCCCCCCCCCGUGCCGGGGAUGGAGCCGCAGGGCACGGCCGUCAGCCCCCGUGGUGACAUCGAUCCGGCAAAGCGUGCGUGAAGUCAAACAGGGACAAAGCUCCGUUUAUGAAGGAGGACAUCAGCGUGAAGAAACAAAAGCUGCUGCUGGAUUUGGCUGCCUUGGAGGAGCAGGAGCCCCGGAGAGCUGGCAGCCAGAGGGCUAAGGCGUGCACAGCACGCAGGGGUGGCAGCAGGAGGGACCCCGGUGGGGUCCUGGCCCCUCUGCCCAAGCAGCGCGGGCGCAGGUGAGGGUGCUGAGCCCUGAGGUGCUGUUCUGACCCUGCUGCCCACCCCAGCCCUGCCUGCAGUGCCCUCGCCGUGCACGGCCCCGCUGCCUCUCACCUGGCCCACUCCUUCAGGGCGCUCACCGAG